UAGGGAAUUUUCGUCAAUGGGCGCAAGCCUGAACGAGCAAUGCCGCGUGAGUGAGGAAGGUCUUCGGACUGUAAAGCUCUGUUGCCGGGGAAAAAGGGCAGAAGCAGGAAAUGGCUUCUGCUGGAUGGUACCCGGCCAGAAAGCCACGGCUAACUACGUGCCAGCAGCCGCGGUAAUACGUAGGUGGCGAGCGUUAUCCGGAAUGAUUGGGCGUAAAGGGUGCGCAGGCGGUCUGUUCAGUCUGAAGGCAAAGGGAUGAGCUCAACUCGUCUUUCAUUCAGAAACUGGCAGACUUGAGGACAGGAGAGGGCGGUGGAACUCCAUGUGUAGCGGUAAAAUGCGCAGAGAUAUGGAAGAACACCAGUGGCGAAGGCGGCCGCCUGGCCUGUGACUGACGCUGAGGCACGAAAGCGUGGGGAGCAAAUAGG
rnacentral:rRNA from 1 species